rnacentral:lncRNA from 1 species
GGCCCCGCCCCCGAGCGCGGGUGCGGGGCGAGCCUUGUGCCUGCGUUCCCUCUGGGCUCGGGGUGCGCGGCUGCUUCGUCCCUUUCCCUGGCCCGUGGGCACUGCAGUGUCCAGAGCUCCCGCGGAAACAUGGGCUUGUCACGCCUUCCUCGCCACACACCCGGGGCCUGCCAGCAAACCGUGUUUGUUGGGCACCUCAGAGACCCACGGGAGCUCGGUCGGAACCCGUGCUGUGGUGCCACCCCCGUGGUGUGGGGGUGCUACUUCUGGUGCCUUCUGAGCUAUUCCAAUGUCAGAGAUCUUAGGGAGAAGCUUGGACUUUAUGUUACCUGAUUGUUACUGAAGUGAGACUGCCUGAAGAGGAGAGCAUACUGGCAGAGCCACGUCUCACCUGAGUACUGGAAGAUGCUAGAGAGUCAUGGAGCUGGGAUGAGUUCCUUAGACUAGACAACAAACAUUACAAAUGCCAAGCCAUAUGCAAUUUCACUAUACAUAAUAUGUAAAUUGAAAAAAACAGAUGUUGCGAAACAAGCUGUCAGUACGGUAGAACCAAAUAUACAUAAGUUAUGGUUUUUGCAGCCAAUAAUCAGCCUGCUUCUGUAUAUUCAUUCCAACAAGUGUGCCAGACUUGACUUCACCUGGGAUGCCUGUGGGAGAGCUGGGGCUGACAGUUCUUCUGGAUUUGUUGGUGCCUGAAAGACAACGAUCUUCUUCUGUGGUGUCCUGCAUCAUGAAGUGGUUGUUAAAUUUUGUGUGGUGCUGUUGCUUGGCCUCACAGCUGGGAAUGAGCCAGAAGAUGCUGUUCUGGAGGUGCACUCGUGCGAGGUGGCCAAGCUGUAUGUGUCCAGCAUGGUCAGCAGCUGCUACCAGAUGA